rnacentral:rRNA from 1 species
UACAGAGGUCCCAAGCGUUGUUCGGAUUCACUGGGCGUAAAGGGUGCGUAGGUGGUCGGGUAAGUUUGAUGUGAAAUCUCUGAGCUCAACUCAGAAACUGCAUUGAAUACUAUUCGGCUAGAGGAGUGGAGGGGGGACUGGAAUACUUGGUGUAGCAGUGAAAUGCGUAGAUAUCAAGUGGAACACCAGUGGCGAAGGCGAGUCCCUGGACACUUCCUGACACUGAGGCACGAAAGCUAGGGGAGCAAACAGG